rnacentral:rRNA from 1 species
AGUGGUAGGAGAGCGUUCUAUUCAGCGUUGAAGGUAUACCGGUAAGGAGUGCUGGAGCGGAUAGAAGUGAGCAUGCAGGCAUGAGUAGCGAUAAUUAAGGUGAGAAUCCUUAACGCCGAAAACCCAAGGUUUCCUACGCGAUGCUCGUCAUCGUAGGGUUAGUCGGGUCCUAAGUCGAGACUGAAAAGUGUAGACGAUGGCAAAUUGGUUAAUAUUCCAAUACCAACAUAUAAGCGCGAUGUGGGGACGCAUAGAGUUAGUCGAGCUCACUGAUGGAAUAGUGGGUCGAAGGAUGUAGGUUGUUAAGUAGGCAAAUCCGCUUAACGUUAGACCGAGAUCUUACAGGCUCUUGACACUCUUCGGAGGAGAUGGAGAAUCGAUGAUACUGUCGUGCCAAGAAAAGCCACUAAGUUUAUUAUAUGUUGCCCGUACCGUAAACCGACACAGGUGGGUGGGAUGAGUAUUCUAAGGCGCGUGGAAGAACCCUCUUUAAGGAACUCUGCAAAAUAGCACCGUAUCUUCGGUAUAAGGUGUGCCUACUUUGGUAUAUGAACUUGCUUCAAAAAGCUAGAGAGGUUGCAACAAAGAGUCCCUCCCGACUGUUUACCAAAAACACAGCACUUUGCUAACACGUAAGUGGAUGUAUAAGGUGUGACGCCUGCCCGGUGCUCGAAGGUUAAUUGAUGAUGUCAGCGCAAGCGAAGCAUUUGAUCGAAGCCCGAGUAAACGGCGGCCGUAACUAUAACGGUCCUAAGGUAGCGAAAUUCCUUGUCAGUUAAAUACUGACCUGCAUGAAUGGCGUAACGAGAUGGGAGCUGUCUCAAAGAGGGAUCCAGUGAAAUUGUAGUGGAGGUGAAAAUUCCUCCUACCCGCGGAAAGACGGAAAGACCCCGUGCACCUUUACUACAGCUUGACACUGUAGCUUGGAUAUUCAUGUGCAGGAUAGGUGGGAGGCUAUGAUGACUAGACGCAAGUAGAGUCGGAGCCAUCCUUGAGAUACCACCCUUGAAUAUUUGAGUUACUAACUGCGAUGAGUUAUCCUCAUUCAGGACAAUGUCUGGUGGGUAGUUUGACUGGGGCGGUCGCCUCCUAAAAAGUAACGGAGGCUUACAAAGGUUAGUUCAAAGCGGAUGGAAAUCGCUUGUUGAGUAUAAUGGCAUAAACUAGCUUGACUGUGAGACCUACAAGUCGAACAGAGACGAAAGUCGGUCAUAGUGAUCCGGUGGUUCUGCGUGGAAGGGCCAUCGCUCAAAGGAUAAAAGGUACGCCGGGGAUAACAGGCUGAUCUCCCCCAAGAGCUCACAUCGACGGGGAGGUUUGGCACCUCGAUGUCGGCUCAUCGCAUCCUGGGGCUG